rnacentral:lncRNA from 1 species
UUUCGGCUCGUGUGCAACGUAGGAAGCUCCGUUUUCCACGAAACUUGGUUUGUUGGAUUCUAGACUGUGAGACCCCAGAUAGUCCUAUAUAUAAGAUAUAAUAGGGCUAAAACUCUUAACCCGGCUUGAGCAUUUUGGGUGGUGGUUAGACCCAAGAGGUUAAGAGAGUUAAGCGUGCUAGGACGGGAGUAGUCCUAGGAUGGGUGACCCCCUGGGAAGUCGGGGCGUCACAGAUGGUAUCAGAGCCAAUUACCAGCCGGAAGUGUGAGAUGAGUCUCGGCUGAGCCAGGGUCUGGAUGACGGGCUAGCGAGAUGAGUCUCACAUCGCCUGGUACUUGUGAGUCUGAGCCUGACGAGGACGUCAGGGCUUAAAGGAGGGGAGAUAGUGAGACCCCAGAUAGUCCUAUAUAUAAGAUAUAAUAGGGCUAAAACUCUUAACCCGGCUUAAGCAUUUUGGGUGGUGGCUAGACCCAAGAGGUUAAGAGAGUUAAGCGUGCUAGGACGGGAGUAGUCCUAGGAUGGGUGACCCCCUGGGAAGUCGGGGCGUCACAGAUGGUAUCAGAGCCAAUUACCAGCCGGAAGUGUGAGAUGAGUCUCGGCUGAGCCAGGGUCUGGAUGACGGGCUAGCGAGAUGAGUCUCACAUCGCCUGGUACUUGUGAGUCUGAGCCUGACGAGGACGUCAGGGCUUAAAGGAGGGGAGAUUGUGAGACCCCAGAUAGUCCUAUAUAUGAGAUAUAAUAGGGCUAAACUCUUAACCCGGCUUAAGCAUUUUGGGUGGUGGCAAGGCCCAAGAGGUUAAGAGAGUUAAGCGUGCUAGGACGGGAGUAGUCCUAGGAUGGGUGACCCCCUGGGAAGUUGGGGCGUCACAGAUGGUAUCAGAGCCAAUUACCAGCCGGAAGUGUGAGAUGAGUCUCGGCUGAGCCAGGGUCUGGAUGACGGGCUAGCGAGACGAGUCUCACAUCGCCUGGUACUUGUGAGUCUGAGCCUGACGAGGACGUCAGGGCUUAAAGGAGGGGAGAUUGUGAGACCCCAGAUAGUCCUAUAUAUGAGAUAUAAUAGGGCUAAACUCUUAACCCGGCUUAAGCAUUUUGGGUGGUGGCAAGGCCCAAGAGGUUAAGAGAGUUAAGCGUGCUAGGAUGGGAGUAGUCCUAGGAUGGGUGACCCCCUGGGAAGUUGGGGCGUCACAUAGACUUCAAGAGAAAUCCGUGGAGCCCAAUUUGACAGAUUUUGGUUGAGGUUAGCUUGGUCGAUUUUGGGUUUUUCUUUACUGCUAAUGUUUUGGUCCUGAAUUUGAGUUUCUUUGGUUGUUAUGGACCAAUUCGUUGAGAGAGCUGGAAUAUCGGCCAGUGAUGAAAGUUAUGGAACCCGAGGAUCUAAAAGGUGAAAACACCUAGAGGGGGGUGAAUAGGUGUAAACGGUAAAAAUCACUAAACUCGAUGCAAAUAUAAUAUAAAUGCGGAAAAUAAAAUCAGCACACCGAGAAUUAACGUGGGAAAACUCCAAACCGGAGAGAAAAACCCACGGGACCGAUCACACAAAGAAAUCCACUAAGAAAACAUGAGUACAAGUAAUUUACCAAAAAUACAAGACUCAAAAUACCGAAUCCUUGUUAUGGAUUAUCUUUGCCAGUCCUUGAUCGCUUGGAAUCCACCAACCGAUCACACUGCAAGUCCUUGCAGCCACACACGCCUCGAUUCCACGAAACGCCCAC